rnacentral:rRNA from 1 species
UUUAUACGGAGAGUUUGAUCCUGGCUCAGGACGAACGCU